rnacentral:rRNA from 1 species
GCAAGUCGAACAAGAAAUCUCGAGCUUGCUCGAGAGAGUAAAGUGGCGCACGGGUGAGUAACGCGUGGGUAACCUGUCCUUAAAUCUGGGAUAAUCCACCGAAAGGUGGCCUAAUACCGGAUACAGUCCUGAAAACCGUGGUUUUCAGGGUGAAAGCUGACCUCUUCUUGAAAGUUGGCGUUUAAGGAGGGGCCCGCGUGCCAUUAGCUUGUUGGUAGGGUAAAGGCCUACCAAGGCUACGAUGGUUAGCUGGUCUGAGAAGACGGCCAGCCACACUGGAACUGAAACACGGUCCAGACUCCUACGGGGGGCAGCAGUGAGGAAUCUUGCGCAAUGGGGGAAACCCUGACGCAGCGACGCCGUGUGAGUGAAGAAGGCCUUCGGGUCGUAAAGCUCUGUCAAGUGGGAAUAAAACUGUGCAUUUAAUAGACGCACGGUAUGAAGGUACCACUAAAGGAAGCACCGGCUAACUCCGUGCCAGCAGCCGCGGUAAUACGGAGGGUGCAAGCGUUAUUCGGAUUUAUUGGGCGUAAAGAGCGUGUAGGCGGUUGGGUUAGUCAGAUGUGAAAUCCUUCUGCUCAACGGAAGAAGUGCGUCUGAAACUGCUUAACUUGAGUACGAGAGGGGAAAGUGGAAUUCCCAGUGUAGAGGUGAAAUUCGUAGAUAUUGGGAGGAACACCUGUGGCGAAGGCGACUUUCUGGAUCGAUACUGACGCUGAGACGCGAAAGCGUGGGGAGCAAACAGGAUUAGAUA